rnacentral:rRNA from 1 species
CAUUGGUGAGAAUCCAAUGUCUCAAAAGCCUAAGAGUUCCUCCGCAAGGUUCGUCUAGGAGGGUGAGUCAGGGCCUAAGAUUAAACAAAAAGGCGUAAUCGAUGGACAAAAGGUGAAUAUUCAUGUACUACUCCUUGUUGGUCUCGAAGGAUGGAGGAGGCUAGGUUAGCCAAAAGCUAGUUAUUGGUUCAAGAACGUAAGGUGCCCUUGAUUUUUCAGGGUAAGAAAAGGUAGAGAAAAUGCCUCGAACCAAUGUUCGAGCACCAGGCAACUUUCUCAACAACUAAGAGAUCUAUUCGAGGAAUAUGGUG